rnacentral:rRNA from 1 species
UAUGGCUCAGGAUGAACGCUGGCGGCGUGCCUAACACAUGCAAGUCGAACGAGCGCCUCGGGUGCGAGUGGCGGACGGGUGAGUAACGCGUGGGUAACCUGCCUUACACAGGGGGACAACAGUUGGAAACGACUGCUAAUACCGCAUAAGCCCACGGGACCGCAUGGUCCUGUGAGAAAAGAUUUAUCGGUGUAAGAUGGACCCGCGUCUGAUUAGAUAGUUGGUGGGGUAACGGCCUACCAAGUCGACGAUCAGUAGCCGACCUGAGAGGGUGAUCGGCCACAUUGGGACUGAGACACGGCCCAAACUCCUACGGGAGGCAGCAGUGGGGAAUAUUGCGCAAUGGGGGGAACCCUUGACGCAGCAACGCCGCGUGAGUGAAGAAGUAUUUCGGUAUGUAAAGCUCUAUCAGCGGGGACGAAUUAGGACGGUACCCGCAGAAGAAGUCCCGGCUAACUACGUGCCAGCCGCUGC